rnacentral:sRNA from 1 species
GCUGGGUGGGGUGGUGCACACCUGUUAUUCCAGUACUUGGGAGGCUGAGGUGGGAGGAUCACUUGAACCCAGGAGUUCAAGACCAGCCUGAAUGACAUAGCAAGACCCCUUCUCCA